rnacentral:rRNA from 1 species
AACGAACGCUGGCGGCAUGCCUAACACAUGCAAGUCGAACGAGAUCUUCGGGUCUAGUGGCGCACGGGUGCGUAACGUGUGGGAAUCUGCCCUUUGGUUCGGAAUAACAGUUGGAAACGACUGCUAAUACCGGAUGAUGACGAAAGUCCAAAGAUUUAUCGCCAGAGGAUAAGCCCGCGUAGGAUUAGCGAGUUGGUGUGGUAAAGGCGCACCAAGGCGACGAUCCUUAGCUGGUCUGAGAGGAUGAUCAGCCACACUGGGACUGAGACACGGCCCAGACUCCUACGGGAGGCAGCAGUGGGGAAUAUUGGACAAUGGGCGAAAGCCUGAUCCAGCAAUGCCGCGUGAGUGAUGAAGGCCUUAGGGUUGUAGAGCUCUUUUACCCGGGAUGAUAAUGACAGUACCGGGAGAAUAAGCUCCGGCUAACUCCGUGCCAGCCGCCGCGGUAA